rnacentral:rRNA from 1 species
GGAUAGAAGAAGCGUGCGAUUGGUUGUGCACGUCCAAGCAGUUAGGCUGAUAAGUAGGCAAAUCCGCUUAUCGUAAAGGCUGAGCUGUGAUGGGGAAGCUCCUUAUGGAGCGAAGUCUUUGAUUCCCCGCUGCCAAGAAAAGCUUCUAGCGAGAUAAAAGGUGCCUGUACCGCAAACCGACACAGGUAGGCGAGGAGAGAAUCCUAAGGUGUGCGAGAGAACUCUGGUUAAGGAACUCGGCAAAAUGACCCCGUAACUUCGGGAGAAGGGGUGCUUUCUUAACGGAAAGCCGCAGUGAAUAGGCCCAAGCGACUGUUUAGCAAAAACACAGCUCUCUGCGAAGCCGUAAGGCGAAGUAUAGGGGGUGACACCUGCCCGGUGCUGGAAGGUUAAGGAGAGGGGUUAGCGUAAGCGAAGCUCUGAACUGAAGCCCCAGUAAACGGCGGCCGUAACUAUAACGGUCCUAAGGU